rnacentral:rRNA from 1 species
GAUGAACGCUGGCGGCGUGCCUAGUACAUGCAAGUCGAGCGAACAGACGAGGAGCUUGCUCCUCUGACGUUAGCGGCGGACGGGUGAGUAACACGUGGAUAACCUACCUAUAAGACUGGGAUAACUUCGGGAAACCGGAGCUAAUACCGGAUAAUAUAUUGAACCGCAUGGUUCAAUAGUGAAAGACGGUGUUGCUGUCACGUAUAGAUGGAUCCGCGCCGCAUUAGCUAGUUGGUAAGGUAACGGCUUACCAAGGCAACGAUGCGUAGCCGACCUGAGAGGGUGAUCGGCCACCCUGGAGCUGAGACACGGUCCAGGCUCCUACGGGAGGCAGCAGUAGGGAAUCUUCCGCAAUGGGCGAAAGCCUGGCGGAGCAACGCCGCGUGAGUGAUGAAGGUCUUCGGAUCGUAAAACUCUGUUAUUAGGGAAGAACAACUGUGUAAGUAACUAUGCACGUCUUGACGGUACCUAAUCAGAAAGCCACGGCUAACUACGUG